UACGUAGGCAGCAAGCGUUGUUCGGAAUUACUGGGCGUAAAGAGUGUGUAGGCGGUGCUCUAAGUUCGGUGUGAAAUCUCCCGGCUUAACCGGGAGGGUGCGCCGGAAACUGGAGUGCUUGAGCGCGGGAGAGGAAAGCGGAAUUCCUGGUGUAGCGGUGAAAUGCGUAGAUAUCGGAAGGAACACCAGUGGCGAAAGCGGCUUCCUGGUCCAGCACCGACGUUCAGGCACGAAAGCGUGGGGAGCAAACAGG
rnacentral:rRNA from 1 species